rnacentral:rRNA from 1 species
UACGUAGGUGGCAAGCGUUGUCCGGAUUUACUGGGCGUAAAGAGCGCGCAGGCGGUCGUUCAAGUCGCGUGUGAAAGCCCCCGGCUCAACUGGGGAGGGUCACGCGAUACUGAUCGACUCGAAGGCGGGAGAGGGUAGUGGAAUUCCCGGUGUAGUGGUGAAAUGCGUAGAUAUCGGGAGGAACACCAAUUGCGAAGGCAGCUCGCUGGGACGUUACUGACGCUGAGACGCGAAAGCGUGGGGAGCAAACAGG